rnacentral:snoRNA from 1 species
AAGCGUGAUGAUCGACUUAAAUUAAUAACUUUCGUUCUACUGAGUGUUGAUCAAACGAUCUUGUAGAAAACCUUUAUUGAAUCUGACA